GUAGGUGGCAAGCGUUGUCCGGAAUUAUUGGGCGUAAAGCGCGCGCAGGCGGUUCUUUAAGUCUGAUGUGAAAGCCCACGGCUCAACCGUGGAGGGUCAUUGGAAACUGGAGAACUUGAGUACAGAAGAGGAAAGCGGAAUUCCACGUGUAGCGGUGAAAUGCGUAGAGAUGUGGAGGAACACCAGUGGCGAAGGCGGCUUUCUGGUCUGUAACUGACGCUGAGGCGCGAAAGCGUGGGGAGCAAACAGGGAUUAGAUACCCUGGUAGUCCACGCCGUAAACGAUGAGUGCUGAGUGUUAGGGGGUUUCCGCCCCCUUAGUGCUGCAGCUAACGCAUUAAGCACUCCGCCUGGGGAUACGGCCGCAAGGCUG
rnacentral:rRNA from 1 species